rnacentral:rRNA from 1 species
CUUGGAAGCAGCCAUUCAUUUAAAGAGUGCGUAACAGCUCACUAGUCGAGCGGUUCGGCAUGGAUAAUAAUCGGGCAUAAGCAUAUUACCGAAGCUAUGGCAACGAAAGUUGGGUAGGGGAGCAUUCUAUCGGCGCAGAAGCAUCACUGUGAGGUGAUGUGGAGCUUAUAGAAAAGAAAAUGUAGGCAUAAGUAACGAUAAAGCAGGCGAGAAACCUGCUCACCGAAAGACUAAGGGUUCCUCAGCCAUGCUAAUCAGCUGAGGGUUAGUCGGGGCCUAACGCGAACCCGAGAGGGGAAGUGGAUGGACAAUGGGUUAAUAUUCCCAUACUUGCUCACGAAUAAAGGGGACGGUUCAGCUAGACUACUGGAGACUGACGGAAUAGUCAAGACCUAGCCUACGGGCGAAGUUGUUGUAGAGUAACUGGAUCCAAGAAAAGCCGAAGUGAAGCAACCCGUACCAUAAACCGACACAGGUAGUCGAGGAGAGAAUCCUAAGGUGCUCGAGUGAGUCGUGGCUAAGGAACUAGGCAAAAUAGUCUCGUAACUUCGGAAUAAGAGACGCCAACAGCGAUGUUGGCCGCAGUGAAGAGGCCCAGGCGACUGUUUAUCAAAAACACAGGACUCUGCUAAAUCGAAAGAUGCUGUAUAGGGUCUGACACCUGCCCGGUGCUGGAAGGUUAAGGAAGGUGCUUAGCGUAAGCGAAGGCAUUGACUGAAGCCCCAGUAAACGGCGGCCGUAACUAUAACGGUCCUAAGGUAGCGAAAUUCCUUGUCGGGUAAGUUCCGACCUGCACGAAUGGUGUAACGAUCUGGGCACUGUCUCAGCCACGAGCUCGGUGAAAUUGUAGUAUCGGUGAAGAUGCCGAUUACCCGCAAUGGGACGAAAAGACCCUGUGAACCUUUACUAUAACUUCGUAUUGACUUUGAGUAAGUAAUGUGUAGGAUAGGUGGGAGGCUAUGAAGCUGGCACGCUAGUGUUGGUGGAGCCGUUGUUGAAAUACCACCCUUUGCUUACUUGGAGCCUAACUUCUGAAAAAGAGUAAGAAGGACAUUGCGUGGUGGGUAGUUUGACUGGGGUGGUCGCCUCCAAAAGAGUAACGGAGGCUUUCAAAGGUACCCUCAGCACGCUUGGUAACCGUGCGUAGAGUGUAAUGGCAUAAGGGUGCUUGACUGUGAGACCAACAAGUCGAUCAGGUGCGAAAGCAGGACAUAGUGAUCCGGUGGUUCCGUAUGGAAGGGCCAUCGCUCAUAGGAUAAAAGGUACUCCGGGGAUAACAGGCUAGUCUCCCCCAAGAGCUCACAUCGACGGGGAGGUUCGGCACCUCGAUGUCGGCUCGUCACAUCCUGGGGCUGGAGAAGGUCCCAAGGGUUG